rnacentral:rRNA from 1 species
AACGAACGCUGGCGGCAUGCCUAACACAUGCAAGUCGAACGAGACCUUCGGGUCUAGUGGCGCACGGGUGCGUAACGCGUGGGAACCUGCCCUUAGGUUCGGAAUAACUCCCCGAAAGGGGUGCUAAUACCGGAUAAUGUCUUCGGACCAAAGAUUUAUCGCCUUUGGAUGGGCCCGCGUUGGAUUAGCUAGUUGGUAGGGUAAAAGCCCACCAAGGCGACGAUCCAUAGCUGGUCUGAGAGGAUGAUCAGCCACACUGGGACUGAGACACGACCCAGACUCCUACGGGAGGCAGCAGUGGGGAAUAUUGGACAAUGGGCGAAAGCCUGAUCCAGCAAUGCCGCGUGAGUGAUGAAGGCCUUAGGGCUGUAAAGCUCUUUUACCCGGGAUGAUAAUGACAGUACCGGGAGAAUAGGCUCCGGCUAACUCCGUG